rnacentral:rRNA from 1 species
GACGAACGCUGGCGGCGUGCUUAACACAUGCAAGUCGAACGGAAAGGCCCUGCUUUUGUGGGGUGCUCGAGUGGCGAACGGGUGAGUAACACGUGAGUAACCUGCCCUUGACUUUGGGAUAACUUCAGGAAACUGGGGCUAAUACCGGAUAGGAGCUCCUGCUGCAUGGUGGGGGUUGGAGAGUUUCGGCGGUUGGGGAUGGACUCGCGGCUUAUCAGCUUGUUGGUGGGGUAGGGGCUUACCAAGGCUUUGACGGGUAGCCGGCCUGAGAGGGUGACCGGCCACAUUGGGACUGAGAUACGGCCCAGACUCCUACGGGAGGCAGCAGUGGGGAAUAUUGCACAAUGGGCGGAAGCCUGAUGCAGCAACGCCGCGUGCGGGAUGACGGCCUUCGGGUUGUAAACCGCUUUCGCCUGUGACGAAGCGUGAGUGACGGUAAUGGGUAAAGAAGCACCGGCUAACUACGUG